AUUGAACGCUGGCGGCAGGCCUAACACAUGCAAGUCGAACGAGUGGCGGACGGGUGAGUAAUGUCUGGGAAACUGCCCGAUGGAGGGGGAUAACUACUGGAAACGGUAGCUAAUACCGCAUACCAUCGGAUGUGCCCAGAUGGGAUUAGCUAGUAGGUGGGGUAACGGCUCCCCUAGGCGACGAUCCCUAGCUGGUCUGAGAGGAUGACCAGCCCAACUGGAACUGAGACACGCUCCAGACUCCUACGGGAGGCAGCAGUGGGGAAUAUUGCACAAUGGGGGCAAGCCUGAUGCAGCCCUGCCGCGGGUGGGAGGAAGGCCUUCGGGUUGUAAAGCACUUUCAGCGAGGAGGCGUUACUCGCAGAAGAAGCACCGGCUAACUCCGUGCCAGCAGCCGCGGUAAUAC
rnacentral:rRNA from 1 species